rnacentral:tRNA from 1 species
GUACCCUUAGUUCACUUGGUCAGAGCAGACAGCUCAUAACCGUAUGGUCGUAGGUUUGAGUCCUACAAGGUACA